rnacentral:rRNA from 1 species
GACGAACGCUGGCGGCGUGCCUAACACAUGCAAGUCGAACGGAAGUAAGUGCUUCGGUAUUUACUUUAGCGGCGAACGGGUGAGUAACGCGUGAGGAACCUGCCUUUCAGUGGGGGACAACAGUUGGAAACGACUGCUAAUACCGCAUGACGCUUCUUAGGGGCAUCCCUGAGAAGUCAAAGCUUUAUGUGCUGAAAGAUGGCCUCGCGUCUGAUUAGCUAGUUGGUGGGGUAACGGCCCACCAAGGCGACGAUCAGUAGCCGGUCUGAGAGGAUGAACGGCCACAUUGGGACUGAGAUACGGCCCAG